rnacentral:lncRNA from 1 species
UUUCUGUUGCACAGGAUAAAGCAGUUGGGAGUAACCCGGAUAAAACACUGCUGCUCCCAGACCUGACCUAGCCAGGCACUCCCUGUAGCUACCGUGUUACACAGCACUUCCAGGUUGCAUGUGCCAGAGCAGAUGAGAGCGCCAAGGCUGAGUGCAGUCGCAGUCCUGGCGAUGGGUCACUGCAGCGGUGCCGCCUGCCCCUUGCCAGUGCUGAGGCUCUGCUGCGUGGCUCCCUUCGCUCCUGAAUUAUACAAGACGGAGCGUCAGCAGGAGGUCAAAGGAAGAGCAAAGGGAGUCAUCCUGCUUGAAUUCAGGUAGAGGCAUCUAGCAAGAGGAAAAGUUCAGAAAGACAAAAGGCUGAUGAAUACAAAAGAAAAAGGCAUGUGCAUCAGAGUUCCUGAAUCACUGAAAAACUUACAAUGCAUAAGCAGACCCAGCUGCAAUAGUUUACGAAGACUCUCACUGAAGCAUAUAAUUAGAGGUUACACAAGGGCAGGUAACAUUUUAGAAACAGGUAAGACAUCUGACCCAA